UUCUUGAAAACAUUUGUAAUUUUGUCUUUUUGGGUCAGAUUAUCUUUUUUUUAUUUAUUUAUUUUGCAUUUUUUGUCGUAUCUUUGAAAAAGAUUUACUAAUUUUGAUGGAAUUUGAUUCGUUCUAAAAUUUGACUCUUUUGUCGGCCACAAAUUUCUUGCACAGUUGGAUAGUGGUCCCCCCAAUAAUGAAUAAUCAAGUGACUAUUUAUAUAUGGAUCAAUGGGUAUACUGAGUGUGAGGGCUCAUGUCGUCGUUAGGAUAGCAGGCCUGUUUGGUUUCCAGGUAUAGAGAAGGAUCAGAUUUAUUAUGGUGCUCUCUUAAAUAUGUAUACACGCAUCGGUGGAAGGGCAGGGGUUAUAGAGCCCACACAUUGGAACCCCAUUAACAACUAUGGUGCGAAUCUUCGGGGUCUAAUUUAUACAAUUAGAUGUGAUAAAGAUGUUUUGAAAAUGUUCAAAAUUCGUUACAGCAAGGAUGUAAAAUCCGUAUAUGCUGAUGACAAAGCUGUGCCAAUGAUGAUAUACAAUGAGUACGGAUGUCUCAUAGGAAAGCCGAAAACGGGUGUACAAUUUCUUGAAUGGCAUGACGAAGUAUAGAAAAGUAGCAGGUUGGUUUACGCGGCUGUCGAGGAGGACGAAGACGGUGAGGAUGGUGGUGAUGAUAAGGACGAUGAGGAUGGUAGUGAUGAUGAGGAUGACAAGGACGAUGGGAUGGUGGUGGUGGCACUAGUGUAGAUGAUAAAGAUGACGAUGCAAUGGUCAUGAAUGAUGUCUUCGGGGUUAAGAAUGACGAUUUUCAAAUCGAAGGAGUUGAGGACUUAACUGGUGAAUUUGAUCCGCGCAAGAAACAAACGGAUCGAAAAGGAAAAUGUAUUGCACGGUCACAAACGGACGAGAAGAGUGGUGGUGACGAUGAGGAGAGCCAUGGGGACGAUGAUACGUAUAGGGGUUUCGAGUACGUGGGUGUUGACGUACCGGCGUGGAUUGAUUAUAGUGAAGAAAUAGGAGUUUAUACUUGAUGCGAUGCGAAGCGUGUUAGUCCCGUUGGAACGAGAGUUUAUACUUGGCGCGAUGCGGAUCAUGUUAGUCCUGUUGAUGAGUGUGAUGAGGAUGACAAUCAUAACAUCGAUACCGAUGAAUAUUGAGAAGAUGUGCGGAUUUAUCGAGGGGCCAAUGAGAGGAUGCUGUAGAAAGUGACAAUUCAGAGUAAGACUCCAAUAACAAAGAGUAAGGGAGCGAGGAUAUGGAGGGGAAUGUUAGCUUAUAUACUUUGUUUAUGAUUGAGGGCGUGGUGGAUUCGCCUGACGAAGAUUCUCCGAUGGAUGAAACCCCUC